GAUACCCCACUAUGCCCAGCUGUAACUAAAUAAUUAAACAACAAAUUAUUCGCCAAAUAACUACGAGUAAAAACUUAAAAUUUAAAAGACUUGACGGUACUUCACACCAACCUAGAGGAGCCUGUCUAAUAACCGAUACUCCACGAUUAACCCAACCCUGCCUAGCCUAACAGUCUAUAUACCGCCGUCGCCAGCUUACCUUGUGAAAGAAAUAAAGUAAGCACAAAAACACCACAUUAACACGACAGGUCGAGGUGUAACCAAUGACAGGGUUAAGAUGGGCUACACUUUCUAACCCAGAAAAUACGGAUAAGCUAUGAAAAUAGAAACUGAAGGAGGAUUUAGCAGUAAGCUAAGAACAUAAUACUUGACUGAAGAUAACGCAAUGAAGUGCGCACACACCGCCCGUCAUUCCUGUAAAUCACAUACAAUAUCUAUAAUACUUCAAAUAUUUUAAAUCAGGGCAAGUCGUAAC
rnacentral:rRNA from 1 species